AUACCCUAUUAUUUUUAUUGUAAAAUUUCAAGUCGGAGUAUUAAUAGUUAUGAUCUUUAAACUUAAAGAAUUUGGCGGUAUUAUAGUCUAUUUAGAGGAAUCUGUUAUAUAAUCGAUAAUCCACGUUGAACCUUACUUAUAUUAAUUCUUGUAUACCGCUGUUUAAGAAUAUAUUUUUAGGUAAUUUUCAAAAUAUAAUAAUAAUUAAUAUUUCAAGUCAAGGUGCAGUUAUAUAUAAGUUGAAUAAUGGAUUACAAUAAAUUUUAUUUAUUAUGAAUUGUUAUUGUAAAAGUAAUUUGAAGGUGGAUUUAAUUGUAAUUUUAUAAAGAUUAUUAAAAUGAUUUUAGCUCUAUAAUAUGUACACAUCGCCC
rnacentral:rRNA from 1 species